rnacentral:scRNA from 1 species
AUUACGCGCAUGCCAGCUCCAACCAUGCUCGA